GACGAACGCUGGCGGCGUGCUUAACACAUGCAAGUCGAGCGAGGCUCCUCCUUCGGGAGGAUGCCCUAGCGGCGAACGGGUGAGUAACACGUGGGCAACCUGCCCCUAGCACUGGGAUAACCCGGGAAACCGGAGCUAAUACCGGAUACGACUUCGAAGGACAUCCUCCGAAGUGGAAAGGUUUACUGGCUAGGGAGUGGCCCGCGGCCUAUCAGCUUGUUGGUGGGGUAACGGCCCACCAAGGCGACGACGGGUAGCCGGCCUGAGAGGGCGACCGGCCACACUGGGACUGAGGCACGGCCCAGACUCCUACGGGA
rnacentral:rRNA from 1 species